UACGUAGGGUGCAAGCGUUAAUCGGAAUUACUGGGCGUAAAGCGUGCGCAGGCGGUUUUGUAAGUCUGUCGUGAAAUCCCCGGGCUUAACCUGGGAAUUGCGAUGGAGACUGCAAGGCUGGAGUCUGGCAGAGGGGGGUAGAAGUCCACGUGUAGCAGUGAAAUGCGUAGAGAUGUGGAGGAACACCGGUGGCGAAGGCGGCCAUCUGGCUCGGUACUGACGCUCAGGCGCGAAAGCGUGGGGAGCAAACAGG
rnacentral:rRNA from 1 species